rnacentral:rRNA from 1 species
GUGAAAUUCCGUCGGAAUCCGGGAGGACCAUCUCCCAAGGCUAAAUACUCCCUAGUGACCGAUAGUGAACCAGUACCGUGAGGGAAAGGUGAAAAGCACCCCGGAAGGGGAGUGAAACAGUUCCUGAAACCGUGUGCCUACAAGUAGUUAGAGCCCGUUAAUGGGUGAUAGCGUGCCUUUUGUAGAAUGAACCGGCGAGUUACGAUUUGUUGCAAGGUUAAGCGGAAAAAGCGGAGCCGUAGCGAAAGCGAGUCUGAAUAGGGCGCAUAAGUAACAGGUCGUAGACCCGAAACCAGGUGAUCUACCCAUGUCCAGGAUGAAGGUAAGGUAAUACUUACUGGAGGUCCGAACCCACGCACGUUGAAAAGUGCGGGGAUGAGGUGUGGGUAGCGGAGAAAUUCCAAUCGAACUUGGAGAUAGCUGGUUCUCUCCGAAAUAGCUUUAGGGCUAGCCUCGAGGUAAAGAGUCAUGGAGGUAGAGCACUGUUUGGACUAGGGGCCCUUCUCGGGUUACCGAAUUCAGAUAAACUCCGAAUGCCAUGUACUUAUACUCGGGAGUCAGACUGCGAGUGAUAAGAUCCGUAGUCGAAAGGGAAACAGCCCAGACCACCAGUUAAGGUCCCCAAAUAUAUGUUAAGUGGAAAAGGAUGUGGGGUUGCUUAGACAACCAGGAUGUUGGCUUAGAAGCAGCCACCAUUGAAAGAGUGCGUAAUAGCUCACUGGUCGAGUGACCCCGCGCCGAAAAUGUACCGGGGCUAAACAUAUUACCGAAACUGUGGAUGAACCUCUUUAGAGGUUCGUGGUAGGAGAGCGUUCUAAGGGCGGUGAAGUCAGACCGGAAGGACUGGUGGAGCGCUUAGAAGUGAGAAUGCCGGUAUGAGUAGCGAAAGAAGGGUGAGAAUCCCUUCCACCGAAUAUCUAAGGUUUCCUGAGGAAGGCUCGUCCGCUC